UGUGACAAAGGGGUUUCCUAACCCCCUUCCCAAUAGGUACAGAGUGCAGCUAUCAAAAUAAACAUUGCAGAGCUGUCAUUACGCCAGGACACCCUGUGAGAUGGAUGAUCCAAGACCUAUGAUGGACAGAAGGUGGAAGGCCCGUAAUGGAUAGAAGGCCCAAAGUAAAAAACAAAUGGUUUGAGACUUGAAACCUGAAGACAGACAUGGAAAAACCUGUGUUUCAAGAUAGAUGGAAUCCUCAGGCUUGAGGCCAUCAAAGCCCUGACAGCUAUGAUGUAAAAAGGUGGCUUUUGUUGGAUAGAACACCUGACUGAGUUGGAAGGAAAAUUCAGUUCUUGAGUUAGACAGAAGUCCAAAGACCCAGAGUGGGAGACUGUAUGCCUAAGUGUUGAGACCCAUGGAAGACCUGAGACCUCAGACACAAGGUCUAAGAAUUCAGAUAAAAACCUAAGAUCCAAGGAUGGAAAGCUCUAGACACACAUAAAGACCUUGGAUUCCUGCUUAUCUAGAUGGACAGAAGGCCAAAGAGAGAACGAUGUCUCAAGACUAAAUUAGGUGGGAAGCUAGAAGCCUAUGACACAGAAUUUGGGAAGGAUAGAAGCCCCAAGACCAAAGGAAAUCCCGAGAUGAAAACACUAAACCCCAUCUUUUUUUCUAUUGUUAUCCUCUCUGCCCUUGAACAUUUUUAGUUCUCCCUUUCCAGUUCUUAUGCUUUUAUUUAAGUUCACUUCUUUUGAGGAGCCCUUUUUGAUGUUGCUGUUACCUUAAGAUUACCUUUAGAUUGGUAAUAUUAUGCUCAGGCCAGUCUUAAGUCAGUUUUUAUCACAGUUUUGAGCUAUUAAGUGUUUAUUUUUUAAAUUUCCAUUUCUCUUCACCUCCACUCCUUGAAAGAUGCAUUAUAGGUAACAUUGUAUUUCAGUCCUCCCUUUUCCUUAGAAGCUCUGGCCUGAUGAGCAAAGGCAAGCAUCAGGCUUUUGGGGGAAAAAGUCCCAGACUAUCUAGAGGAAAUGUGAAGAGAUGUUCCAGGCCAAUGAGAAGAAUUAGAUAAGAAACACCCAGAUGUGCUAUACUGUUGAGAAGCACCAACCUGCAACACCUUUCUUCUUUGAGCUUGGUUUCUGGCAUCCUAAGACUGCUACUGAUAAGAAUAAGAACAUGCUGUCAUCUGAUUUUUAUGGCAUAAAUGAACAAAGCCGUCUUUAAAGAAAUAGCCUCGUCUCUACCUUUCUACCUAAAAGGGAAUCUAUGCCAAAUACUCUGAUAAAGAUACACUUGGACUUGUGAACUAAUGUGAAAUGCAGUAUCUUUGAGUUUUGAGUGUUUUGAAGAUUGAAAAACCUUGCUCAGCGUGAGUGACCACAAAAACAAUGUAAAGCCAUCUACAUGUCACAGCUGAGAGAAAUUGGGGAAUGUUGUCUAAUGUCAAAUAAAAUGUACUGUUUUGAAA